UACGUAGGGUGCAAGCGUUGUCCGGAAUUAUUGGGCGUAAAGAGCUCGUAGGCGGUUCGUCGCGUCGGCUGUGAAAACCCGGAGCUCAACUCCGGGCCUGCAGUCGAUACGGGCGGACUCGAGUUCGGCAGGGGAGACUGGAAUUCCUGGUGUAGCGGUGAAAUGCGCAGAUAUCAGGAGGAACACCGGUGGGGAAGGCGGGUCUCUGGGCCGAUACUGACGCUGAGGAGCGAAAGCGUGGGGAGCGAACAGG
rnacentral:rRNA from 1 species